AGUAAUGGCAGGUCAGCAUACUGCCGUGAAUACGUUCCCGGGCCUUGUACACACCGCCCGUCACACCAUGGGAGCCGGUAAUACCCGAAGUCAGUAGUCCAACCUCGUGAGGACGCUGCCGAAGGUAGGAUUGGCGACCGGGGUGAAGUCGUAACAAGGUAAC
rnacentral:rRNA from 1 species